UACAGAGGGGGCAAGCGUUAUUCGGAAUUAUUGGGCGUAAAGGGCGCGUAGGCGGCUUGGCAAGUGGAAGGUGAAAUCCCUCGGCUUAACCGGGGAACUGCGUCUGAUACUGGUUGGCUUGAAUCCGGGAGAGGGAUGUGGAAUUCCAGGUGUAGCGGUGAAAUGCGUAGAUAUCUGGAGGAACACCGGUGGCGAAGGCGGCAUCCUGGACCGGUAUUGACGCUGAGGAGCGAAAGCCAGGGGAGCAAACGGG
rnacentral:rRNA from 1 species